rnacentral:rRNA from 1 species
UACGUAGGGUGCGAGCGUUAAUCGGAAUUACUGGGCGUAAAGCGUGCGCAGGCGGUUUUGUAAGUCAGACGUGAAAUCCCCGGGCUUAACCUGGGAACUGCGUUUGUGACUGCAAGACUAGAGUACGGCAGAGGGGGGUAGAAUUCCACGUGUAGCAGUGAAAUGCGUAGAUAUGUGGAGGAAUACCGAUGGCGAAGGCAGCACUCUGGGCCGGUACUGACACUGAGGAACGAAAGCGUGGGGAGCGAACAGG